GUUUUAAUAAUUUAAUAUAAAAAAUAUUGAUUUUGUAAAUCAAAAAUGAAUAAAUUUCUUAAAAUU
rnacentral:tRNA from 1 species